AUAUUCAAAUUUUCAAACCGACAUACAAUUAACCACAUCCACAAAGUACAUGUGAAAAGUCUCCGCUCGAACGAUUUGCUUUUUUUUUUGUAUGUCAGUACAUGGGGAUGCCGAGGGUACUUUUGGACUACUGAAUACCAAAACUCCCUAAAAAAGUACCCCUGGGCUAAACACCCUCUACAAAACUUGUGUAAUAGAAAAACAAACUACAUGACGUGGGCAUAGCUCAGUGGUUGGGGGCGCAUGAUUGUAAACCUAACGACCAGAGUUCGAUAAAUCCGUGGGUGCUAGUGCCCAUGGAGUUUCAUUUUUUAAAACAAACUACAUGUCCGCGGUGCAAUAAGGGUAGUUGAAUCCUGGUGUUAUAACCCUGGCGUUCACGGAGGAACAUUUAAGGUAGGCCCCUUUUUGCCCGACCAAGGAAACAUCUUGCAUCACUAUGCCAUCG
rnacentral:lncRNA from 1 species